UGACAGGUUUGCAAUGAUCUAGGACAGCGGUUCUCGAGCUGCGGUCCUUGAAACAUUGGCCAGAAAGCUGGUUGCUCAUGGUGCACAUCAUGCUGGAUGCAGUGCUGCGCAGCCUCUCCAAUGCAGGCACCAGGGUCUGCCUCCUCCAAGCUUCGAGGACUGCAACGGAAGAGGGGGAAAAAAAUCAAGCUACUCGUCUUCACCUGUCUUCCAGCCAAAUCUGCAGGUAGCUACUUCUAUCUACAUCUAUGCACUGCAAACGGGUUAUGUCAUCACAGCUUCCAAGUACAUGAAUAGCCAGACAAAUGCCUCCUGGAUGUGGGUCUCUAGCACGCUGCAAAACCAGGACCAUCACCAUUCAUAUGAACAGAGCUCCUUCCAGACAUCUCCCUUGUAAUCAUGGCUGUGCUGGCCUCCUGUCUUCCCAUAACAUCCCUAAGGCAACUGCAGCAGUUCCUUAUAGCUUUAAUGGGGUAUGAAGUCCCUUGGGUUUGGUGACUUAAUUCUCAUUUUUUCCUCUCCUUGCUCCUUUGCCCUUUUUUUCUCUGUCACCUGGCCCCUUUCUCUUCCUUUUCUCUCGGAUUUUUCCCAGGACCCUCGUUCUGCAUUUCCCCCGGGGCCCAUGAUCCUCCUCCCCAAUAUAAGUGUUUAUCCACCUACUUGGUCUUCUCUAUCCACACUUCUCUGUGCAUGACAUUCUUCCCUGAACAGUUUACUGCUGGUGGCGCUGGUUCUUACGGCUAUGGUAUUAGAAAUCCUCAGAUGACACUGUUACACCAUCUGUUUGGUCAACGAGAAGUGUACAUACCUUGGAGAGAUUAAGAGUUUGGUGCAAGGCUUUCAAGUGUUGAACAUACCACCGCUGUGACUGGUUCUCUCUGGUCUUGACCUUCCUGACUAAAUCUCUCCUUGAGUGCUAAAUUGCUGCUUGCAGGAUGCAACCAUGCUAGUAUACCCCAUGUACAGCAUAUGUUAUUCCCCUCACCCUUGCUGUGCCUGAUCUGCAGAGGAUGAGUCUGAUACAGCUUGGGAAUAUGGAAGCCGAUUCUCCAAGUGGAGAAGCUCAUGCUUUUUGCUGCGUAUGUCCUUGGUUCAGUUCUGGGUGUGACUAAGCUGGGGGGUCUACCUACAAGGAAACAAAAUCAAUACGAGGAGUUACGGUACAAUGUCUUUUUCUCAUGCGGCAGCAGCCUUCAGCUGAAGCAGCUGAGCUGGCGCAUUCCCCUCUUCAGCUGUAAGAGACCCUCGGGCUCUGCAGUUAGAGACACAUGACCAACCAGCUUUCCGGCCAAUGUUUCAUGGACUGCAGCUCGAGAACCGCUGCCCUAGAUCAUUGCAAGCCUGUCAUUCCACAGCAUGUCACUGGGAAGACAUCUACUCCUAGAUCUGCAAAAAAACACUUAGGCCUGGAUCUAUACUUUGGCUACACCAUAGAUUUAUGAUCUGCCAACCACAGUCAAGCCAACAAAAACGUGGCUUUUUCUAGAGCAAUUUUCUACAAUGCGAUUAAGUGACAAAGAUAAACUCUGGGAAUAGAUCUGAUUAAUUCCCAAUAUUUUACAUGCACCGAUAACCUCACUACUUUGGUUUCCUGCUAGGAUUUCUAAUGUUUUCCUCUCUCAGACGUUAGAAUAGUCUAAGGAAGGAGAACAUUUGUCACAAAUGUUAACAGCCUUUGCUUCCAAAUAACCUUAAACUGGCAUUUCUUGUGAAGGGAAAGAAACUCAAGAGUAGAAAAUAAUUUACAUCCUUUAGCUUUCCUUGCUUCUCCUAGACUCCCACUUGCUUAACCCCAUUUAAACUCUGUAGCAGCUUAUGACAUCCGGCGAAAGUAUGCUACAGCUUAUUAAACUUUAAAGCCCUUGCUCCCAGGGAAAACCCGGAAAGCUGUUUUAUAGAUUAGCCAACGGGCAGCAUGAGGCAGAUACUUUGCAUCAUUUUGACCAUAUAGCCCAUGAGAAUAGCUUUAUGAAAUAAAACUUCCUCCUGCAGUUGC